rnacentral:misc_RNA from 1 species
GUAGGUGAACCUGCGGAAGGAUCAUUAACACGUAUCCACGUAUCAACCCCUCUGCGAAACGUUAGAAACAGAAAGGUUUGGUCUUAGUGCGUUGUCCGUUUUAGGGUCCUAAUGAUGGCCGGUCUCUUUCGGGAGAUCGGAGGGCCUGGGCGACGUGUGUUUGACGAUCAACCGUUACUUUCCCAUUGUUGGCCUUUACAUUUUUUAACCCCUUUGUACUCUUUUGUACUGAACCAUUCUUUUGAUGCUC